AGAGUUUGAUCCUGGCUCAGGAUGAACGCUGGCGGCGUGCUUAACACAUGCAAGUCGAACGAAGCACCUGAGAAUGAUUAUUCGGAUGAAGUCUCUUGUGACUGAGUGGCGGACGGGUGAGUAACGCGUGGGUAACCUGCCUCACACAGGGGGAUAACAGUUGGAAACGACCGCUAAUACCGCAUAACCCGCUGGUGCCGCAUGGCACUGACGGAAAAGAUUUUAUCGGUGUGAGAUGGACCCGCGUCUGAUUAGCCAGUUGGCAGGGUAACGGCCUACCAAAGCGACGAUCAGUAGCCGGCCUGAGAGGGUGAACGGCCACAUUGGGACUGAGACACGGCCCAGACUCCUGCGGGAGGCAGCAGUGGGGAAUAUUGCACAAUGGGGGAAACCCUGAUGCAGCGACGCCGCGUGAGUGAAGAAGUAUUUCGGUAUGUAAAGCUCUAUCAGCAGGGAAGAAAAUGACGGUACCUGAUUAAGAAGCCCCGGCUAACUACGUGCCAGCAGCCGCGGUAAUACGUAGGGGGCAAGCGUUAUCCGGAUUUACUGGGUGUAAAGGGAGCGUAGACGGUGAUGCAAGUCAGAAGUGAAAGCCCGGGGCUCAACUCCGGGACUGCUUUUGAAACUGUGUGACUGGAGUGCAGGAGAGGUAAGCGGAAUUCCUGGUGUAGCGGGUGAAAUGCGUAGAUAUCAGGAGGAAACACCAGUGGCGAAGGCGGCUUACUGGACUGUAACUGACGUUGAGGCUCGAAAGCGUGGGGAGCAAACAAAAUUAGAUACCCUGGUAGUCCACGCCGUAAACGAUGAAUUUUAGGUUGGCCGGUGGAGCAAAAGCUCAUCCGGGUGGCCCCAGCAAACCCUUUAAAUAUUUCCCCCGGGGGAGUACGUUCGCAAGAAUGAAACUCAAAGGAAUUGAAGGGGGACACCGCGCAAGCGGGUGGAGCAUGUGGUUUAUCUAGAAGCAACGCGAAGAACCUUACCAGGUAUUGACAUCCAUAUGACCGGGAUUUAAUCAUCCCUUUCCUUCGGGACAGAGGAGACAGGUGGUGCAUGGUUGUCGUCAGCUCGUGUCGUGAGAUGUUGGGUUUAGUCCCGCAACGAGCGCAACCCUUACCUUCAGGAGCCAGCGGUUCGGCCGGGCACUCUGGAGGGACUGCCAGGGACAACCUGGAGGAAGGUGGGGAUGACGUCAAGUCAUCAUGCCCCUUAUGACCUGGGCUACACACGUGCUACAAUGGACGGUACAACGAGAAGCGAACCUGCGAAGGCAAGCGGAUCUCUUAAAGCUGUUCUCAGUUCGGACUGUAGGCUGCAACUCGGGUACACGAAGCUAGAAUCGCUAGUAAUCGCGGAUCAGCACGCCGCGGUGAAUACGUUCCCGGG
rnacentral:rRNA from 1 species